AUUGAACGCUGGCGGCAGGCCUAACACAUGCAAGUCGAGCGGAUGAAGGGAGCUUGCUCCUGGAUUCAGCGGCGGACGGGUGAGUAAUGCCUAGGAAUCUGCCUGGUAGUGUGGGAUAACGUCCUGAAACGGGCGCUAAUACCGCAUACGUCCUGAGGGAGAAAGUGGGGGAUCUUCGGACCUCACGCUAUCAGAUGAGCCUAGGUCGGAUUAGCUAGUUGGUGGGGUAAAGGCCUACCAAGGCAACGAUCCGUAACUGGUCUGAGAGGAUGAUCAGUAAAAGUGGAAGGGAGAAACGGUAAAGAGACCAAGGGGAGGAAGAAGAGGGGAAAAUUGGAAAAAGGGCGAAAGCGUGAAGAAGGAAAGCCGCGUGGGUGAAGAAGGUCUUCGGAUUGGAAAGCAGUGUAAGUGGGGAGGAAGGGAAGUAAGUUAAAACAUGGCUGAUUGGACGUAACCAACAGAAAAAGAACCGGGAAACAUCGU
rnacentral:rRNA from 1 species